AUCAACUAAGUGACUGUAGCAGCAUAAAUAGUACGCUGCCACUUUAAGGCCAAAUUUGGCUGCUGCAUAUAAGCAGGUCUCCACCUACCACAAGGCUGCAUGCGUUGUGACACUGAACCCAGCUGCUUCUCAUUGUGGGUCAAAUUGUGCUGGACUCCUUUUUUGCUCCUCCGACUUCUGGAUUGACCUGUCCUGUUGUUUGCUGGCAGGAAGCUGCACUGCGAAGGUGGAAUUGGGGAUUUGCUUACCUGGCAGCGUGGUAAUUCACCAGUCACAGACCUGCUUUCUGACCACCAAGCCUGCCUGUCCUCAUUUAGCCUGGAUUUGUGUCCCGACUGGUCAUUUAGCCUGGAUUCUGCUCUGGACUGUUCUGUGCUUCUGUUUUACUGGUUUAUGACUAUGGAAUGUUUGUGACCAUGAACUCUGUCUUGCCCUGUUAAUAUUACAUACCAGUCUGUCAUCUUGGUGUUACCCACAACCUGUUCCUAAAUAAACCGUCUUAAAUCUUAACAUUAGUUCUGGCUGCAUACUGGGUCCAUCUGUCCCCUUUUUUGACAUUUAAGCAACAUUAAUUCUCCCCACUGUACCUCAAUUGUUGUCCAUAGGCUUUUCACCUCCCUCUAUGAAUACUGUAAUUUUUAUUGUUGUCUUAUCGUUAUUGUUAUUACGCUACUUGUUCUGUGUAAUGUCCUUGAGUAUUCUGGAAGGCACUUUUUUUAUAUUUUAAUUUUUUAAUGUCACUAGCGAGGAGUCCUAUUAAUAACAUGUAGUUUGGAACUUCUGUACAAACAGCAGCUAUCUUACCAGUUUUCCCCAAUUACUACUGAUUUUAUGGUUGUAUUAAUGCAGAUACAAGAUCAUCCAAACUGCGUUAAACUCUCUCCAGGUCACAAAGAAUGAUCAGGGUAAUACUGCAUACAUUUUCCUCAACUUGAUUAAAUAUUGCAUACCUAAACAU